ensembl:snoRNA
ACUGUCCUUGAAGUGAGCAGAUAUGGCUGCUGUGUCACAUCUGUGUCAGUAGUGGCAGAGAUGAGAGAGGUUAUGUCUAUGCUCAGUGUUCUGACCUCUGAACAUCUGAAUGAGUAGGAACCUAACAUUC